rfam:Homo sapiens chromosome X, GRCh38 reference primary assembly.
GCUGGGCGUGGUGGAGGGCGCCUGUAAUCCCAGCUACUGGGGAGGCUGAGGCAGGAGAAUCGCUUGAACCCAGGAGGCGGAGGUUGCAGUGAGCUGAGAUCACGCCACUGAACUCCAGCCUGGGUGACAGAGUGAGACUCCGUCUCAA